UUUUUUUUGCUUCUGGCGGUUUUAAACGCCAUUAUCAAUUUGUAUAAAAUGCUCAACCCUAAAUUAACCCAUCAUUACUGUGUUGAACUUGAAAUGCUGCCAGUGUGAGAGAAAUCUUGAAGCUCUGCCACUGCGUUCUCCUCUGUCACGAUCUCUCCUCCGACGACUCCUCUCUCCAGCGACGGCCUCCUCCGGCAACAUCUCCUCUAGCGGCGUCUCCUCCAGCAACGACCUCCUUCUGCGACGUCUGCUCCAGUGACGGUCUCCUUCGGCGACGUCUCCUCUUGCGACUUCUCCUCCAGCGACGAUCUCCUCCUGUGGCAUUCUCCUACGCUGGCAAUCUCGUCAGUUGAGCUAUUGAGCUGCGAGUUUCUCUUCCGGCAGACUCAUAAGGCUUUGUCCUGUCUGAUCCAAAGAAUAGGAUGUUCCUUUGCAGUUUUCUCAUUGUGAUAUCAUUGGUUUGUGGUGCUUAUUUAGUUGGCAAUUCAUUCACCACCAAGGAGUAUAAAUAAGCGAAGGACACCUUCAAAGUUCCCUUCAAAUCUGAAGGGAAGGGAAACUUCAGAACAGUGAGCUUCAAAUUCAAAGCAGUUGCACCAAGAACAAGACUCACAUUCUACAGCUCCUUUUACCAUACCAGAAUUGAUGAUUAUGGAUCUCUCUGUGGCCCUGUUCUUGACCAGGUUUUGGAGUUGUAGGUUCUUGUAGUACAGAAAAAAAAGAGGUAGAUUGCAUGGAAUUGGCUACUGGAAGUUACCUUCUAGAGUUGUCAACGCGGGUGAGGAGAUUUUUGUAGAAGCUAUUAGAGAAGUAAAAGAAGAGACAAGACUGAGUAUCUAAGGAAGUGCAGAAUUCAUUCUUUGGGAAAUCAGAUUUGUCAUUUCUUUGCAUCUUGCGCCCUCUUUCUGUUGAGAUCAAAAAGCAAGAAUUGGAAAUUGAAGCAGCUCAGAAAGAAGAAUUAGGAUUUGACCACUAGGAGGUAGCCAUGCCAUCUGUGCCUCCACCAGAUAAGCUUUUGUCAAUGGAGGAGCUGCGGGAGAAACGCCUUACUGACCCUCGUCUUCCAAAAACUUACCGGAACAAAAUUGCUACAACUAAAUUCACCCCUUGGCCAAUAGAGAUACGGUUCUGUGAACCUACAACUUCAACAAAUCAGACCAAAUCUCCUCCCCAGUUUGAAUUUUUGGUUUAGAACAAAGGAAAAACUUUCAGAUGAUCAGGCCUUGCAUAGUAUGCCAAACCAUAUUCAAUUCCGGAAGUGAAGACUACUCACAACAAAAAGAAGAAAAGCACGCAGAUUUAAUUAAAAGUUUGAAAUCUAGCAUGGACAACUUGAAUAAGGAGUUGGAAAAGAUGAAAAAAGAGAAUUCAACUCCUUCAUGAAGCUAAUCAAGAACGGGGAAAUAUAUUCCUUGUGUUCAAGGAAAUAUCUGUCACUGGCAAUGCAUUAAAAAGGGUUCUUGCUUUGGAGAUUGAGCUUGCUGAAGCAUUGCAGGCCAAGAAGAAAUCAAGCAUGCAAUUUCAAAGAUUCAAGUGUCCUUUUGGUGAAUGAAGCAAUGCAAUUAAGUUCUGGAUUUCAGCCUUCAUCCUCAAGAACUCAAGUUUGUGUCUUAUAACACGAUAUACCACUCAAUUAGGCAAGUUUCUUCCAUCUUUUAUUCCC